rnacentral:rRNA from 1 species
AGGACGAACGCUUGCGGCGUGCCUAAGAAAUGCAAGUCGAACGGGAGCUUCGGCUCUAGUGGCGAACGGUCGCGUAACACGUGGGCAACCUGCCCUGAAGCGGGGGACAACAGUUCGAAAGGACUGCUAAUACCGCAUGUGGAUCCGAGAGGCAUCUCUUGUAUCUAAAGGCUUCGGCCACUUCAGGAUGGGCCCGCGGCCUAUCAGUUAGUUGGUGGGGUAACGGCCUACCAAGACUUCGACGGGUAGCUGGUCUGAGAGGACGACCAGCCGGAUUGGGACUGAGAUACGGCCCAGACUCCUACGGGGGGGCAGCAAUUAGGAAUCUUGCGCAAUGGGGGAAACCCUGACGCAGCGACGCCGCGUGAAGGAUGAAGUAUCUAGGUAUGUAAACUUCUUUUAUUAGGGAAGAAGAAUGUGACGGUACCUAAUGAAUAACGCCCGGACUAACUACGCGCCAGCAGCCGC